AAAUUGAAGAGUUUGAUCAUGGCUCAGAUUGAACGCUGGCGGCAGGCCUAACACAUGCAAGUCGAACGGUAACAGGAAGCAGCUUGCUGCUUCGCUGACGAGUGGCGGACGGGUGAGUAAUGUCUGGGAAGCUGCCUGAUGGAGGGGGAUAACUACUGGAAACGGUAGCUAAUACCGCAUAAUGUCGCAAGACCAAAGAGGGGGACCUUCGGGCCUCUUGCCAUCGGAUGUGCCCAGAUGGGAUUAGCUUGUUGGUGGGGUAACGGCUCACCAAGGCGACGAUCCCUAGCUGGUCUGAGAGGAUGACCAGCCACACUGGAACUGAGACACGGUCCAGACUCCUACGGGAGGCAGCAGUGGGGAAUAUUGCACAAUGGGCGCAAGCCUGAUGCAGCCAUGCCGCGUGUAUGAAGAAGGCCUUCGGGUUGUAAAGUACUUUCAGCGGGGAGGAAGGGAGUAAAGUUAAUACCUUUGCUCAUUGACGUUACCCGCAGAAGAAGCACCGGCUAACUCCGUGCCAGCAGCCGCGGUAAUACGGAGGGUGCAAGCGUUAAUCGGAAUUACUGGGCGUAAAGCGCACGCAGGCGGUUUGUUAAGUCAGAUGUGAAAUCCCCGGGCUCAACCUGGGAACUGCAUCUGAUACUGGCAAGCUUGAGUCUCGUAGAGGGGGUAGAAUUCCAGGUGUAGCGGUGAAAUGCGUAGAGAUCUGGAGGAAUACCGGUGGCGAAGGCGGCCCCCUGGACGAAGACUGACGCUCAGGUGCGAAAGCGUGGGGAGCAAACAGGAUUAGAUACCCUGGUAGUCCACGCCGUAAACGAUGUCGACUUGGAGGUUGUGCCCUUGAGGCGUGGCUUCCGGAGCUAACGCGUUAAGUCGACCGCCUGGGGAGUACGGCCGCAAGGUUAAAACUCAAAUGAAUUGACGGGGGCCCGCACAAGCGGUGGAGCAUGUGGUUUAAUUCGAUGCAACGCGAAGAACCUUACCUGGUCUUGACAUCCACGGAAGUUUUCAGAGAUGAGAAUGUGCCUUCGGGAACCGUGAGACAGGUGCUGCAUGGCUGUCGUCAGCUCGUGUUGUGAAAUGUUGGGUUAAGUCCCGCAACGAGCGCAACCCUUAUCCUUUGUUGCCAGCGGUCCGGCCGGGAACUCAAAGGAGACUGCCAGUGAUAAACUGGAGGAAGGUGGGGAUGACGUCAAGUCAUCAUGGCCCUUACGACCAGGGCUACACACGUGCUACAAUGGCGCAUACAAAGAGAAGCGACCUCGCGAGAGCAAGCGGACCUCAUAAAGUGCGUCGUAGUCCGGAUUGAGUCUGCAACUCGACUCCAUGAAGUCGGAAUCGCUAGUAAUCGUGGAUCAGAAUGCCACGGUGAAUACGUUCCCGGGCCUUGUACACACCGCCCGUCACACCAUGGGAGUGGGUUGCAAAAGAAGUAGGUAGCUUAACCUUCGGGAGGGCGCUUACCACUUUGUGAUUCAUGACUGGGGUGAAGUCGUAACAAGGUAACCGUAGGGGAACCUGCGGUUGGAUCACCUCCUUA
rnacentral:rRNA from 1 species